rnacentral:rRNA from 1 species
GAGUUGAUCCUGGCUCAGGAUGAACGCUAGCGACAGGCCUAACACAUGCAAGUCGAGGGGCAGCGCGGAGUAGCAAGUACUUGGCGGCGACCGGCGCACGGGUGAGUAACACGUAUGCCAACCAACCCAGUAACAGGGGGAUAACCCGGGAGAAAUCCGGACUAAUACCGCAUAAGACCACGAUAUCGCAUGAUAUAGAGGUCAAAUAUUUAUAGGUUAUGGACGGCAUGCGUCUGAUUAGCUGGUGGCGGGUAACGCCACCAAGGCAUCGAUCAGUAGGGUUCUGAGAGGAAGGUCCCCACAUUGGAACUGAGACACGGUCCAAACUCCUACGGGAGGCAGCAGUGAGGAAUAUUGGUCAAUGGGCGAAAGCCUGAACCAGCCAUGUCGCGUGAAAGGAUGAAGGUCCUAUGGAUUGUAAACUUCUUUUGCAGGAGGGUAAAGUGAGCUACGUGUAGUUCAUUGCAAGUACCCUGCGAAUAAGCAUCGGCUAACUCCGUGCCAGCCGCCGC